rnacentral:misc_RNA from 1 species
GAUGAAGAACGUAGUGAAAUGCGAUAAGUAAUGUGAAUUGCAGAAUUCAGUGAAUCAUCGAAUCUUUGAACGCACCUUGCGCCCUUUGGCCAUUCCGAAGGGCAUGCCUGUUUGAGUAUCAUGAACACCUCAACUCUUCAUGGUUUUCCGUGAUGAGCUUGGACUUUGGGGGUCUUGCUGGCCUAUGGUCAGCUCCUCUAAGAUAAAUCAGCUUGCCAGUGUUUGGUGGGUAUCACAGGUGUGAUAACUAUCUACGCUUGUGGUUUUCCACCAGGUAACCUUCAGCAGUGGAGGUUCGCUGGAGCUCACAGAUGUGUCUCUCCUCAGUGAGGACAGCUCUUUGAAUGUUUGAUCUCAAAUCAGGUAGGACUACCCGCUGAACUUAAGCAUAUCAAUAAGCGGAGGA